AUUGAACGCUGGCGGCAUGCUUUACACAUGCAAGGCGGACGGCAGCACAGAGAAGCUUGCUUCUUGGGUGGCGAGUGGCGAACGGGUGAGUAAUAUAUCGGAACGUACCGAGUAAUGGGGGAUAACUAAUCGAAAGAUUAGCUAAUACCGCAUAUUCUCUGAGGAGGAAAGCAGGGGACCUUCGGGCCUUGCGUUAUUUGAGCGGCCGAUAUCUGAUUAGCUAGUUGGUGGGGUAAAGGCCUACCAAGGCGACGAUCAGUAGCGGGUCUGAGAGGAUGAUCCGCCACACUGGGACUGAGACACGGCCCAGACUCCUACGGGAGGCAGCAGUGGGGAAUUUUGGACAAUGGGCGCAAGCCUGAUCCAGCCAUGCCGCGUGUCUGAAGAAGGCCUUCGGGUUGUAAAGGACUUUUGUCAGGGAAGAAAAGGCUGUUGCUAAUAUCGACAGCUGAUGACG
rnacentral:rRNA from 1 species